rnacentral:lncRNA from 1 species
GAAAUCUCCGAACGAGUUGGUCCGGUUGCGUAUAGAUUGAUUUUGCCCCCUGAGCUUGAAAAGAUUCACGACGUCUUUCAUGUUUCGAUGCUUUGACGCUAUCGAUCUGAUCCAUCGCACAUAAUUAGCCCAUCAGAGGUUGAAAUUCAAGCCGAUAUGAGUUAUGAAGAAGAACCGAUGCGUAUCCUAGCUCGUGAAGUGAAGGAGUUGC